UGAAUUACAUCUCAAUAAAGCUAUUACAAA
rnacentral:piRNA from 1 species